rnacentral:misc_RNA from 1 species
ACACGGCGAGGACCACCAUCGACGCCCCCUUCCCUGGCGAGAUCCCUCCAUCUACGUCGUGUCCCUCAGAGAUCCCCUUCCAUCUUCGUCGCCCAGAGGAAAAUGGACGGCAAUCCCAUCCAUCGGCGCCAAACCCUACCCAUCCACCAUAUUCGGCGCCCUCCCUUCCUUACGUGGCGCCAUCGGUGGGGAUAUCCCCCAAUCUGCUGGAAGGAGUCCGCGCCAAAUCAGAGCCCAAAAUUCGCGCCAAAUCCACGCUGGAUGAGGUGGUGGGGAGAUCCCCCAAUCUGCCCCCCUUCUACACGCCUACCAUGAACGGGAAUCCCUACCAUCGAGAAACCCCCUACCCAUCCUCCAUAGACGGCGCCCUCCUACUAACCACUGAAAAAUCCCUUCCACACGCCGACAACUUCAUCCUCCUCGCGUUUAAUCACAGCUCUGUUAGCACUGUUUUAUCAAGGUACGUCCAAUUCCUUCUAUUU